rnacentral:rRNA from 1 species
CCUACGGGGGGCUGCAGUGGGGAAUAUUGGACAAUGGGCGCAAGCCUGAUCCAGCAAUACCGCGUGAGUGAUGAAGGUCUUCGGAUUGUAAAGCUCUUUUAGUGGGGAAGAUAAUGACGGUACCCACAGAAAAAGCACCGGCAAACUUCGUGCCAGCAGCCGCGGUAAUACGAAGGGUGCUAGCGUUGUUCGGAAUUACUGGGCGUAAAGCGUGCGUAGGCGGCUUAGUAAGUCGAUUGUGAAAGCCCCAGGCUUAACUUGGGAACUGCAGUCGA